rnacentral:rRNA from 1 species
CCUACGGGGGGCUGCAGUGGGGAAUAUUGGACAAUGGGGGCAACCCUGAUCCAGCCAUGCCGCGUGUGUGAAGAAGGCCCUCGGGUUAUAAAGCACUUUCAGUGAGGAAGAACGCCUGGUGGUUAAUACCCAUCAGGAAAGACAUCACUCACAGAAGAAGCACCGGCUAACUCCGUGCCAGCAGCCGCGGUAAUACGGAGGGUGCGAGCGUUAAUCGGAAUUACUGGGCGUAAAGCGCGCGUAGGUGGCUUGAUAAGCCGGUUGUGAAAGCCCCGGGCUCAACCUGGGAACGGCAUCCGGAACUGUCAAGCUAGAGUGCAGGAGAGGAAGGUAGAAUUCCCGGUGUAGCGGUGAAAUGCGUAGAGAUCGGGAGGAAUACCAGUGGCGAAGGCGGCCUUCUGGACUGACACUGACACUGAGGUGCGAAAGCGUGGGUAGCAAACAGGAUUAGAUACCCGUGUAGUC